GUAAGCUUAAGGUCUGAAAAAGUAGUUAACCUUUACACCCAUUUGUCUUCUAAAGGGAAUCAAUGUAUUGAAGAGGCAGAGGGCUCUCAAGUUUCCUGUUAGGUCCAUUCCCUGUACCUGUCACACUUUCUCCUUUGGGCUGUGUUACUUUCCAACACCACCUUCUGUUGACAGGGGAGUGAGAGCAGAGAAUAAAAGUCCAGCUCCCAUCAGCACCUUCUGUUACUUCUGAGAAAAAGUUCUAAAAAGUUUUGUCAUUUAAAUGGUGGAAAGUAAUAGCUAAAUGAACAUUUAGCUAAAUGAGCAUUUUAGAGUAUCAUUUUCUUUCACACUGCCACAUUGUCCCUAUUUCCUUUUGUCAUGGGUAACUGGAGGGCAAUAGCAAAGAAACAAGGCUUAAUAACAAUUUGCAUAAUUCAGUUAAUGUUCAUGGGGGGAGGGGUGGCAAACACCACUUUUUAAAUUAUAUAAUUGCCAUUCAACACAAAGUUAACUCUGUUCACUUUACUGGUUAACUAGAAACAUUGCCUAGAUUGAAUUUAUUAAAGUAAAAAGAAAAAGUAGUGCAAAAAAACCCUCUUAUUCUCUCUCUCACUUUCUGUAAGGUUUACUACGACAUCUGCCACACCUAGAGUAACUUUAUUUUAGUUCAUUUUAGAAUGAUGGACUAACCCUUACUUAAACUGUAAUGGUGUCAAGUCUUUCUGUGCACACUCAAACCCAUGUACCAUUAUAGUAAUCCUAGAAAGGAACCAAAGGUAAAUAACCAGUGUUUCCAUUAGCACUAAAUGCCAGUUAACCAUUUUGUUUUUUAGUCGUUCUCCUGGUAACUUAUUUUUUGAUUGGAAUCUUAAAUUGGAACAACUGUUAUUGAAUGAAUAUUGCUCCAGUUCUAAAGUCAGUCUUUUAAUCUUGUGCCCUCUAUCUGACUUGUGAACGUUCAUUUCAAAACAGUAUAUGGAAAGCAUUAUAGUUUGGUGACAAUAGGAUUAUUUUAAAGUGAAUAAUUUACCAUUUUACUGCUAUAAAAUGAGUUGAUGUCAGUUGACCAUUUUAUCUUUUGAUGGAAUUUUUUUGUUAUUGAGAAAGAAAUGAAUGAAAGAAAAUUAUUCUUUUAUUUGAAUAUUGAAUACUAACAACUUAUACUAAAACUACAUUGCAGGAAGUGAAGAAAUAUUUUGAAAUUUAGCAAAAUAGCUACAGUAUUCAAGUAUCUGAAAUUUUAAUAUGGUGAGUCUUAGAGCUUUAGACUUUCCUAUAAGUGACAGUAUCUAAGUUAUUAAUAGUCACACUUGAUAAUUCUGCUGACCAUAGCAGCUAACCUAAAAUCGAAGAUAUUUAUGUGACAUGAAUAGCCUGUGUUUUAAAAAU
ensembl:lncRNA